rnacentral:rRNA from 1 species
CUCUGUGACUCCUACGGGAGGCAGCAGUGGGGAAUAGUUGCACAAUGGGGGAAACCCCUGAUGCAGCCAUGCCGCGUGUGUGAAGAAGGCCUUCGGGUUGUAAAGCACUUUCAGUAGGGAGGAAGGUAGUGUAGUUAACACCUGCAUUAUUUGACGUUACCUACAGAAGAAGCACCGGCUAGCUCCGUGCCAGCAGCCGCGGUAAUACGGAGGGUGCGAGCGUUAAUCGGAAUUACUGGGCGUAAAGCGCAUGCAGGCGGCCUGUUAAGUCAGAUGUGAAAGCCCGGGGCUUAACCUCGGAAUUGCAUUUGAAACUGGCAGGCUAGGGUCUUGUAGAGGGGGUAGAAUUUCAGGUGUAGCGGUGAAAUGCGUAGAGAUCUGAAGGAAUACCAGUGGCGAAGGCGGCCCCCUGGACAAAGACUGACGCUCAGAUGCGAAAGCGUGGGGAGCAAACAGGAUUAGAUACCCUGGUAG